GUUUCCUUCCUCUCCGGCAACUGAGUUAGGAAGGACGCCUGUGUCUUUGUAGUGACUCGGUGUAUUGAUACACCAUCCAAAGUGUAAUUACUAACUUCACCAUGCUCAAAGGGAUAUUCAAUGUGUGCUUUUUUAUUUUUACCCAUCUACCAAUAGGUGCCCUUCUUUGCGAGGCAUUGGGAAACCUCCCUGGUCUUUGUGGAUGAAUCUGUGUUUGAAAUUCACUAUUCGAUUGAGGGACCUUAUGUGUGGGGUACAGAAAUGAGGUAGUCAUUAAAAAAUCACAACAUUUCAAUGUAAUCCAUGUUAAAUUCAGGCUGUAACAACAACAUCUCAAUGUAAUCCAUGUUAAAUUCAGGCUGUAACAACAUCUCAAUGUAAUCCAUGUUAAAUUCAGGCUUUAACAACAUCUCAAUGUAAUCCAUGUUAAAUUCAGACUGUAACAACAUCUCAAUGUAAUCCAUGUUAAAUUCAGACUGUAACAUCUCAAUGUAAUCCAUGUUAAAUUCAGACUGUAACAUCUCAAUGUAAUCCAUGUUAAAUUCAGACUGUAACAGUAGUAGUAUGUAACAUCAUGUAUGUAACAGUAGUAGUAUGUAACAUCACAUCCUGUUUGUAACAGUAGUAGUAUGUAACAUCACAUCCUGUAUGUAACAGUAGUAGUAUGUAACAUCACAUCCUGUAUGUAACAGUAGUAGUAUGUAACAUCCUGUUUGUAACAGUAGUAGUAUGUAACAUCCUGUAUGUAACAGUAGUAGUAUGUAACAUCACAUCCUGUAUGUAACAGUAGUAGUAUGUAACAUCACAUCCUGUAUGUAACAGUAGUAGUAUGUAACAUCAUGUAUGUAACAGUAGUAGUAUGUAACAUCCUGUUUGUAACAGUAGUAGUAUGUAACAUCCUGUAUGUAACAGUAGUAGUAUGUAACAUCCUGUUUGUAACAGUAGUAGUAUGUAACAUCACAUCCUGUAUGUAACAGUAGUAGUAUGUAACAUCACAUCCUGUAUGUAACAGUAGUAGUAUGUAACAUCCUGUUUGUAACAGUAGUAGUAUGUAACAUCACAUCCUGCAUGUAACAGUAGUAGUAUGUAACAUUUGAUUUCCCCUGUAUUUAACAGUAAAGGUUUUUGAACACACAACGUGUGUGUUAUUUUUCCUUCUCAGAAGACUGCCUCCCUGUCACGUCCUGACCAGUAUAAGGGGUCAUUUCGUUAUUGUAGUUUGGUCGGGACGUGGCAGCGGUGUGUUUGUUUAGUGUGUUUCGGGGUUUUUUUUGUUCUAUGUUUUCUAUUUCUAUGUGGGUUUUCUAGUUUUUCUAUUUCUAUGUUAGUUUUGGGAACGACCUCCAAUUAGAAGCAGCUGGUUGUUGUUGCUUCUAAUUGGAGGCCAUAUUUAAGUGGGUUAAUUUUCUCUUGUGUUUGUGGGUGGUUGUCUCCGUGUGUAGUUAGUGCACCUUACAGGACUGUUCUCGUCGUUCUUUUGUUCAGUGUUUAUUUUCUUUAAAUAAAUCAAGAAGAUGUUUCAUCUA
rnacentral:lncRNA from 1 species